rnacentral:rRNA from 1 species
GCGUUUGUCCGGCAUAUUGGGGCGUAAGCGCGCGCAGGCGGUUUCUUAAGUCUGAUGUGAAAGCCCCCGGCUCAACCGGGGAGGGUCAUUGGAAACUGGGGAACUUGAGUGCAGAAGAGGAGAGUGGAAUUCCACGUGUAGCGGUGAAAUGCGUAGAGAUGUGGAGGAACACCAGUGGCGAAGGCGACUCUCUGGUCUGUAACUGACGCUGAGGCGCGAAAGCGUGGGGAGCGAACAGGAUUAGAUACCCUGGUAGUCCACGCCGUAAACGAUGAGUGCUAAGUGUUAGAGGGUUUCCGCCCUUUAGUGCUGCAGCAAACGCAUUAAGCACUCCGCCUGGGGAGUACGGUCGCAAGACUGAAACUCAAAGGAAUUGACGGGGGCCCGCACAAGCGGUGGACGAAGCAACGCGAAGAACCUUACCAGGUCUUGACAGCAUGUGGUUUAAUUUCCUCUGACAACCCUAGAGAUAGGGCUUCCCCUUCGGGGGCAGAGUGACAGGUGGUGCAUGGUUGUCGUCAGCUCGUGUCGUGAGAUGUUGGGUUAAGUCCCGCAACGAGCGCAACCCUUGAUCUUAGUUGCCAGCAUUCAGUUGGGCACUCUAAGGUGACUGCCGGUGACAAACCGGAGGAAGGUGGGGAUGACGUCAAAUCAUCAUGCCCCUUAUGACCUGGGCUACACACGUGCUACAAUGGGCAGAACAAAGGGCAGCGAAGCCGCGAGGCUAAGCCAAUCCCACAAAUCUGUUCUCAGUUCGGAUCGCAGUCUGCAACUCGACUGCGUGAAGCUGGAAUCGCUAGUAAUCGCGGAUCAGCAUGCGGGGGGGAAAAUCCUUUCCCGGGGCCUUGUACACACCGCCCGUCACAACACCCGAAGUCGGUGAGGACCACGAGAGUUUGUUAACCUUUUGGAGCCAGCCGCCGAAGGUGGGACAGAUGAUUGGGUGACAGAAAAAAAAAAGCAAA